CCUACGGGGGGCAGCAGUCGAGAAUCAUUCACAAUGGGGGAAACCCUGAUGGUGCGACGCCGCGUGGGGGCAUGAAGGUCUUCGGAUUGUACACCCCUGUCAUGUGGGAGCAAAUUAAAAAGAUAGUACCACAAGAGGAAGAGACGGCUAACUCUGUGCCAGCAGCCGCGGUAAUACAGAGGUCUCAAGGGUUGUUCGGAAUCACUGGGCGUAAAGCGUGCGUAGGCUGUUUCGUAAGUCGUGUGUGAAAGGCGCGGGCUCAACCCGAGACGGCACAUGAUACUGCGAGACUAGAGUAAUGGAGGGGGAACCGGAAUUCUCGGUGUAGCAGUGAAAUGCGUAGAUAUCGAGAGGAACACUCGUGGCGAAGGCGGGUUCCUGGACAUUAACUGACGCUGAGGCACGAAGGCCAGGGGAGCGAAAGGGAUUAGAUACCCCAGUAGUC
rnacentral:rRNA from 1 species